rnacentral:lncRNA from 1 species
CCAAGAUAAAUAUUUAUAUAAUUCUUUGUAACAGAGGCAAGGUUCAGGAAAAUCCCUGACUGGUUCUAGAGCGGGCUGCAGAGCUGGGCCAGGGAGGUGCGGGGGCCCCUUGGAGGGAGAGGAGUCUGGCUGCGGCCUCCGGAGCAGCUGGUGCCUGCCCGGGUGGCGGACACGCUGUCCUGGCACAGAGGCCCACGGGCAGUGGCCAGAGCAGGGCCCAGAUGACUGUGUGCCCUCGCUGGCGCGCUGGGCCACUGGAGGCCCCGGGCCCGUGGAGAGAGGGCGCAGGCUGGGCUCUGCCACACCAGCCUCCCCGCGUCUCUGCAAAGAGCAUCGCGCUCCCGAGAUCGUGGCUGACGUGCUGUGUGACCUCAGGCGAGUCACCCCACGUCUUGGGGCCACCAUGUCCUGGCCCAUCAAGCGAGGGGAGCGCUAGGUGGCUGCGCCACGAGGCUGAGCAGGGAGCCGAGGGGAGACAGACGUGAAACUGCCCUGUCACCGUCAUCUUCACGGCCGUGCGGCGCGGGCUACGCGAGUCGAGCCGGGUUCGAGGAAGCCGUCCACGCACUUGAACUCCUCUUACAGCAACAGGGGCGCAAGUGCGUCGGGGCUCCCGUCCGGCGCCACGCGGCUUGCGAGAGGCAGAAGCACCACGACAGGCGGACAGCGGGAGGCCUCCUGUUGUCGCUCCAGGUCCCGGCUGUGGGUCAAUCCGAGGAUGGGCAGCUUCGAAGCCGGAGCCCAGGGGCAGCUCGGGCCCGUCCGGGAGGGCGCGCACGGGGCGAGGCGCUCCCCCAGGCGCUGGGAUGUCAAUUCCUCAUCUCCCGGGUGCCCCCCUCGUGCUGGGCCUGCUUUCCUGUCACCUCUCGUCAAUCCCCAGAGCAACAGUCAGGCGCACAGGCGCCCCUGACACCCACGACCAAGGCCUGGCGGCAACGGGAGAUGCAUCAAUUAUCGGACCUCAGCUCUCCGCUCCGAGGCUGUGCCUCAGGGCCAGGACCCUGGCCACCUGCCCCCUCUGAGGGCUGCAGGGCCUCCGGGGAAGGCGGCCUGGCCCGCCCUGUCCCUGGAGCACCUGCUGGGCUGCCUCCAGGCCUCCGCCUCCCCCGAUGGGCGCUGGGCAGGCCAUUUCAGACAGAGUAACUGAGGCCCGCUGAGGCGUGGGGACCUGGCCUGGGUUCAGAACCCGGCUUCCUGGUGCCUCUGGGCUCUGCUCACAGACCACAGGUCCCCCCACCUGCCUUGGGCCGCCUGCCCAUCCUCCGCCCUCCGGCCAGUCAUUCAGCAGCACUGGCACCGCACACGCGCCCGGGGCUGAGCAGCCAGAGGCCACCCUGGGCUUCAGGGCCUCGCGUAGGCAGAGUGGAGCCGGAGCACAGGCAGGGCCCUCGGCCGCUCCUGAGCAGGACCUGGGGCUGGGACCUCGGGAGGAAUGCCCCCAGGGAGCCCUCGGGGACAUGAGGUCGGAGGAGAGGCCCCGGAGGCAGUGGCAGGCGGCCGUGGCUCAGGAGGGGAACUGAGGGGUGAGAGGGGGGCAGGGCCAGGAGGCCUGAGGUCAAGGAACCAGUGCCAAAGGCAGUGGGGAGCCACAGAAGCCAAGCAAGGGACACAGCGUGCAGUCACGGAGCACGGACUGGUGAGGGGCCAGGGCGGAUGCAGAGGCCGGGAGCAGGGCUCGGCGGCCAACCCCAAAUGCCAGUGGGAGAAGGGGGGCGGCCCUGGGGGCACCAGAGCCAUGUGCCCGAGCCACCAGGCAGCGCCACCCUUUUGGGGCCCGAGGGGCUGCUUCUGCCAUGCCCCCCACCGCCUCGGCCGGCCUCCGCUCCCACCCACAGGCCCCGCCAGCCCCCUUCUCGCUCCCUGUCUCACUGCGGGGCCAGGGUGACAGGGAGGCCAGGUGGUGGUGGCCUCCCUACCCCAGCGGAGGCCUCCCUGGCACUGCUGUCUGGGUGCGGGCGGGACGCAGGGGACCAGGGAGGGCGUGAGAUUCCCGUGGGAAAGGGUGGCUCUAGCAGCGGCUCCUCCAGCGGCUCUAACAGUGGCUAAGCUCCGGGCGGCUCGGCGGGCACCCCCGCCAGCCCCAGACACAAAGGCUGCUGGCAGUGGCCGGGCCCUGCAGACAGUGAGGGAGCCCCAGGCGGCCGAGCCGGGCCGCCUUCCGCUGCGGCUCCGCCUCUAUUCCCGUGGCCCCUUCGCAGGCGGACUUGACCCUUACCAAGGGCACAGGCCCUCGGGUCCACGCAACAUCCCGCACGGCUCCCGGAGCCCCACUGUCGCCUCCCUCCGCCCCAAAGAUUUUGUCUCCCAAACAAGCGGCGCCUAGAGAUCACCGCGCAUCCUCUCUCAGGGGUGCAGGAGAGCAGCCGAUGGGGCCUUUGAUGGGCGUGAGUGAGCCAGGGGUCGGGGCCUCGUGUUUCUCGACCGAGUGAGCGAAUGAAUGGACGGGGGGGAUGGAACUGCAGCCCCAAGCAGAGCCACUGCUGCCUUUUUUUAGCCUGAGCAAAGGACAUCUCCCCAAGGCUUUGAAGAACACGGCUCGUGAUUCCCAGGGUCCCCUCUGUGACCACCCUUCAAGAUGCCUGGGCUGUGAAACCAAGGUGCCCGGGACCUGCCUCCCCAUGCUGGCCAUCCCAGGGCCUCCUGAGCUCACCCUGAAGCCCCCUUUCCUGGCCCUGGCCCUGCCUAGGGCUCCCAGAGACCCCCAGGAGUUCCCCUGACCCGUCAGUGUCCCCAGGCCCAGGGUCCCGGGGAGCCUCCUGCUGGGGGUCGGACGGGCACGCGAGGAGAGAGGGUACGUGCCCGAGGAACCCGCCCGGCGGCUUUGCAGAGCCAGAGAGCAGGACGCGUGUCAUCGGUGAGGACAGCGGGAUGGCUUUUAAGGUGAAACGCACACUCGCUCAUGACAUCAGCACCAAGGGCGAAAAUGAAGACGGCAGGGUGUGUGAGCGCCCACAAACCGUCAGGGCAGGCGCCGCCCCCGCCCUCGGGCCUGGCUCGGGCCCCUUGGCCAGCCUGGGCAUCCCGUCCCCCGCUGCAGGGUCGGUGUGCGGCUGGGGCCUGGGAGCAGAACCGGCAGGGAGCCCGGGCGUGGAGGCAGCAUCUUCUUAAUCUCUCUCCUUUUAUAACGUCUGUCUCUUCUGUGCUCGUGCAAGGAUCCCAGCUCAGCCGCCAGCGUCUCUUCCCCGGGCUGAGCCGUCUCCUUGCAGCUAAUGCCUGACAGCUCUGUUUAUGUCUCCCCAUAAUUCUCCAGUUUUAUGUUUUUUUUUUUCGGGGCCAUUAAGCUCCGAGCCACGAGCUCCUUCCCCUGCCCCCGCCCGCCUUUGUCCUUGAGGCCUGGCCGCCCCGCCGCCCUCUGGGAAAAGGGCUGUCCUCCCCAGCAGGUGGACAAGGACCCGGGCUGGAGCCCUUCCUCAGGGCAGCCCCUAACACCAGGCCCCUGUCCUCUCAUCACAGGUCUCAGCCCGCUUGUCCCCAGGGAGGCAAGAGGCACCAGAGCCUGGAGGGCUGGGCAAGGCCACUCUGGCUGGCGCCUAGAGUCCGGCUUCUCUUCCCUGGUGAUGGCUGCUCCCCCAGGCCACUCCCCAGGACAAAGACCCCCUGCCCCUCGCCCCGCAGCUCCAGAACCCCCAGCUCCAGCAUAUCCACGGCCUGCUGAGACCCCUCCUCUCUACGGACCCUGGCCUCUGCCCCUGUCUCCCCGCAGCCCAGCUUUGCGGAGGCCCCCACGUCCUCAGGGUCCCCCCACCACCGACAACCACAGCCUGGAGGUGGCCUCGUGUCACCUCCAGGCUGGUUUCCCAGUUCCCAGCCUCUGCUCCAUGCGACGGCUCACAAGCGCUGCCCUGGGUGGCCCCUUGCUGUAGGACCUUCCAUGGCUCCCCAUUACUGUCAGCUACUCGAGUCCUGGCCCAGGGAGGCGCCCAGGACCCUGCAGCCCCUGCUGCAGGCCUCAGUGUCCCGGGCAGCGGCGGCCCCAGCGCCAGGCCGGCUCCCAGCCCUGGGUGACCUCCCCCUUUGCCUCUGCAGGUCAAACCAAGGCUGCGGGGGCCUCCGCGGGCCUGCCCUGACCGCCCCAGCGAGGGCAGAGCCGCCCUGGCCUCUGGAUGCCCAGGAACCUCUCUCUGGGUGCCCUAACCCUCUCUAUGCAGCCCCUGGUCGCCCCAGACCCGACGCCCGCCUUUCUGUGUGCCCUGGGUGGACAGGUGUGCCUCUCAGAGCCCCAGCGUCCCCCCCGCAGCAUGGAACAGUGGUCCCCGUCCUGUGGGCCCAGCAGGGGCCACCCUAGGCCAGAGUCACCCAACCACGGCCGACCUGGGAUCUUGCAAGGGAGGGCAUCCCUCUGACGCCCCCUCUCUUCCUGGGGACAUGGCUCUCCAGGGGUGACGCAGCAGGAGGCGUGCCCCCAGGUCCUGCUCCUCUGGGAGCCCUCACCUCCCGGGGCAGCGUCAUUCCUCCCCUGCCUUCUCGAAUCUCCGCUCUUGCCUUCUGCUGAGCUGCCUCUGCAGCCAGAGGCCCCCGGCCCGCCCUGGAUGCCCUUCCCUGCACGUGCAGGCGGCCGGGCCACGCUCCUGCAUUGUCUCCAGGCUCUGGACAGGUGGCCCGCGUCCCCAAGGAGAAGGAGGGAAGCCGGCCACGGCGCGUCUCCGCCAGCACCGAGGUCUGCCCUCUCCUGCACAGGGCCUCGGCUUCAGUCAAUUCCAGCCCAGGGGUCCCGCGUCUCCCUCCUGUCCGGCCGCAGCACGGCAGGGCCCCAGCCCCCAGCCAGACUCCCCGCCCUUGACAGAUGUCGCUGCCGCACAGGCAGCCCCUGGCCUGAGCCUCCAUGUGACCCCAGCUGGGUUCUCUUCCAAGCUGGGGGCAGCCUGGACCCCUGCCCCUCACAGACAGCCCGACGUGGGGGCAGCCAGGCCACCCUCUUGUCAAGAGCAGUGCAAGCUUCCUAACUUGAGGGGCCCAGUGCAGGAUGAAAGAGGGACCCUGCUCCGAAAGCUGUCUCAGGACGGUGACAGAGCAGCCUAGACCAAGCCCGGGGCUUUCUGAGCUCGGGCCCAUGCAGCCGGCACCGGCCGAGGAGGUCAGCAGGCCAGCUGUCCCACCCUGCACUGUUCCCAGGUCCCCGGCUCUGCUACAACCUGCAGGAAGAUCAGAAUACAGUCCACGAGUCACACCCAGGAGGGAGAGAUGCGACGACAGCUGUGCUGACCCAGCACUUCCUAGGUGCGAAGUAUCCUGCACGGACUCAGCCGCAGACCGUCGCAGCCACCAGCCCUGUGCUUCCGAGGGCUUCCGCCAGGCAACAGGGUGGGAGCACUGGAGGCAGGGGGGGAGCAGUGGAGGCAGGAUGAGCGCGACUGCAGGGCUGAGGCUCCCAAAUGAACCACGCGCCAGGUGAGAGACCCCGAGAUCGGUCUGAACAGAGCCGGAGAAGCCACCCUAACCUCUUCCCCCAGAGAUGCAGAAACCAAGGCUCAGAAAGGGUGCCCAGCCCCGUGAGAUCACACAGCACAGCAGGGCCCCCAACAAAGCAGCCCUGUUUCCAAUGACCCAGGCAAAUGCGCGUGAUUUGGCAAUUUGGCACCUAAGGAAAAGGGCAGGAAGCAAAAGCCAGUAGACGGACACACACACACACACACACACACACACACACACACACGCGCGCGCGCGCACACUUUGGUGCCUUCUCAUCAGAGGGCCUGGCGGUGACUUCUCUACGUUUUCAGUUAUUUCCUGUAUCUUUUCCGGUAAGCUGAUGUUUUUCAAAAGACCAAUAGUGACAUUCCCGUCGUGGUGCAGCGGAAACGAAUCCGACUGGGAACCAUGAGGCUGCAGGUUCGAUCCCUGGCCUCGCUCAGUGGUGAUGCCCACGGUGUGUCCGCAGAGGCCUGCUCAUCUGGCCCAGACACCACAGAAACACGGGAAUCCACCUCGUGUGGGAUUUCUCGGGGAGAAGCUGAGCAGUGGCCAGGCGGGCUCCUCUCCCUCCUCUUCCCUUGUCCCUACGGUCCCCUGGGGACCUCCGGCCAUCUGCGGGGCCCACUCUUGUCCCAGGAGCAAGGAUGAACUAAGACCUGGGCUGGCAGGGGUCGAGGUCCCUGGAAGGGGAAACGGAUGGCUGGCGUCGGGGUGAUGGGCACCUCCGGGGUCCGAGCCAGGGCCAGGGGCAGUGGGAGGCCUGGGCGGGGAGGCCUGGCCCAGGAAGGUUGGGUUGGCCCAGGGAGAGCCAAGGCGUGGCCCCCAGACAUGCCCACACCACAAACAUGUCCACCGGGCCCGGUCACACCCUCCGUCGGGGCGGACGCAGGGCACAGAAACGCCCCCUCCCCACCUCCCCGAGAGCCACACAUGCACGGCGUCCAGGCCACCCCAGCACCCGCAGCUCCGCAGCCGCCUGCGUGCACGGAACACACGCUCUCACCCUCCUCCACGCUCCCCGACUCUGAGCCGGGUCCGGGGACACUGAGGGGCGGCCUCCUAACCACCCUGUGUCCCCUGGGGAAAUCCCCGGGCCCAGGACUCUGGGGACCACGGAGGGGCCCACGGCAUAGAGGAGCGCACACGGGGCGACCGGCUGGCACACCCACGGAGCUCCCUCCCUCGGGAGCGGCCCUGGCUCUUCUGGGUCCUCUCGCGACGACAGAAAGCUCCUCGCGGGGUGGAGCCGCAACUUGGCAAAGUCGCCUCCGUCCACACAGGUCGGCGCUGCUCUCUGGAGAGGGUGUGGCAUUUGGGCACGUGCCCGCGCGUGCCCCCACAUGCAGACACACAGGCAGGCAGCUAACACGCUUCCAGGCCCUCGACUGGCCACGGGCAGGGAGGAGGCGGCCCUGGGACCCGGGCGGGCGUUCUCAGCGCCUCCAGGCUGGCGGGGGGGGGCUCCCCUGGGAGGAUAAUUACCCUUUAUUAAGCCUCCCGAUUUAGACUCAGCCUCAAUUAACUGGAACCUCCCAAGCCCCCUUUUCUGAUCCUUCGGGGCCAAGGGCAGACGGGCCCAACCCCCCCACCCCGCACGGGCCAGCUCCUGCCCAGAAAAGGUGCCCCCAGCCCUUGUCCCGGACACUCUAGGUACCCCUCCCCAGCAGCGCACGAGGGGCGGGGACCCCAGGGCUCCCAGCUUUCUGGAGACGCCCUGCAUUGGUAUUCUCGUCCCUCGCAGCCCAAAUUACACGGCCUCUCCUGGGACCCUUUCAUUGCACGCUGUCGCUCCAGCAAAAGGUUAUGCACGAGAACAUCGAAAUCCCUCCCGCAUAUUAACGAAAAGGCGUCUUUUAAAUGCGCAGGGAAAAGCGGCCAAUUUUACAGUAUCUGAGAUGCGGACGGGCGGGCGCUGGGCCCUGGGCAGGGCGUGGAGGACAGGGGGCUGUGGCAUGUCCUGUCUCCUCUCCCUGGGGCCCUGACCGCGGGGCAGCUGCCCGGCACCUCUCCUCCUCCCCAGGCGGGUCCCCACCUGUGCACCCUUCCUUUCAUUUUAUUUUUGGGGGGCGUCUGGAGCAUGGCUGGAAAACACCUUCAAAACCCAGUUUGAAUCAGCUUCUCAGUUCCGGCAGCUUCCAGAUGCGUUUCAAAGAUAUUUCAAAUCUGCCCAAGAUCAAUGCAAGCUGGGGUGCCGGGACGGGAACCCCGGUGCGAGUGGGGGUGCCAGGGGACAAACCGGACAGAGCGGGGACCGCAGAGACGCAGGCGGCCCCGUCUCAGCUCCACCUGCGGGGGCUGACGGGCCUGCGGGCGGCACUACGACCCUCCAGCUAGAAGAGAAGCCCGAAGUGGGAUGUUUAUACGAAAUCCCAUGUUAUUUUUUAAACCCUGUGCUGGCCAAACAGCGCCCAUCUAAGGGCCUCAGCCAGCGACAGCCCCGCGCAGGAGCACAGAGGAGAGCAGUCUGCUCAGAGGCGGUGGGGGCUGGGGGUGGGGGCAGGACGUCGGAAGCGGAGACCGCUGGGGUGCUCCUCUGUCAGCUGGGGGUGACAGCCAGGCCCCCCAACACGAGAGACUCAGCGGGACCACAGGAUGAAGCGGGGGGGGGAGGGAGGACGAGGUCCCCCAGGUCGGUCCCCUCCUGGGUCAGGCCAGGCCCGAGAUGAUGUGAGCCCCGCGCAGCUGCCCAGGUGCCCAAGGAGGGCGCCCCUGCCUCCCAUCACAGCCGCUCCCUCCGGUCACCGCAACGGGACCCCCGAUGCCGGGAACCCUGUGGGGAAGCCCGUCCUGCCAGGCCCACAGUCAUCCCAGCCUGGCUUCUUACGGGUCCUGGCGGCCUUGACCCACAGGGGCCUGCUUCCUCCAAGCCUCGGCUUCUUCAUCCGUAAAGU